AUUUUUUUUUCGAUUCGUCGCGAAUCGCGGGUGCAGAACCGAGUUUCAUUACGAUUGUGUUUGUGUUUACUUUCAGUGAAAACAAAAAAUAUAUCGAGUGGUGUGAAAAAUUAUCAACAAUUUGUUGCAGGUGGAUAAAUUUGGCUAAGAAAACGGAGAGUCGGUACACCGAGAACGUUACCGAGCUAAACCUGAACAUCUUCCCGGACGAGGGCAACUGCAAGGAUGGCCGGUGUUGCUCAACUUAAAGAUAUGAAAUGAAUCUGAUCGCAAUCUGAAAAAGUCGCCUUUGGGCGAUGACGACAGCUGGCAUUGGACGAAGGCUUCGAUUAAGAAGAAGACGAUUACAUCUAGGACCAAGUGCAUCAACUUUUUGGGGCACCGGAGGUAAUUUUAUUGCUGUUUGGAAAGAAUUCGCGGGCGGCAUCCACCUGCGGAACGACUACGAAGAAGGAAGAAGAAUUUUAUGAUCAGAAUGCGGCCAUGUCAGCUGGAUGCAGAACUUUUGGUCAGUCGACAACGCAGACGGUUUUUGCCAGCACGAAGUCUGGAGCUCUUUUCUACGGCCAAACUCGAGCUGCAGUUUGAACUGUCCAGCGACAACAUAAAUGUUCUCCUGCCGCAUGUAUUUUCGAAAGCUCCGCAAAGUCGCUCGUAAUCAUAAUUACAAAAUACAGCGGCAGCCGAAGAAGU